rnacentral:rRNA from 1 species
AUUGAACGCUGGCGGCAUGCCUUACACAUGCAAGUCGAACGGCAGCACGGGAGCAAUCCUGGUGGCGAGUGGCGAACGGGUGAGUAAAGUAUCGGAACGUGCCCAGUCGUGGGGGAUAACGUAGCGAAAGUUACGCUAAUACCGCAUACGAUCUAUGGAUGAAAGCGGGGGAUCGCAAGACCUCGCGCGAUUGGAGCGGCCGAUAUCAGAUUAGGUAGUUGGUGGGGUAAAGGCUCACCAAGCCGACGAUCUGUAGCUGGUCUGAGAGGACGAACAGCCACACUGGGAAUGAGACACGGCCCAGACUCCUACGGGAGGCAGCAGUGGGGAAUUUUGGACAAUGGGCGAAAGCCUGAUCCAGCCAUGCCGCGUGCAGGAUGAAGGCCUUCGGGUUGUAAACUGCUUUUGUACGGAACGAAAAGGUUUGGCCUAAUAAGCUGAGCUCAUGACGGUACCGUAAGAAUAAGCACCGGCUAACUACGUACCAGCAGCCGCCGUAA